CAGCAGCCGCGGUAAUACGGAGGGUGCAAGCGUUAAUCGGAAUUACUGGGCGUAAAGCGCACGCAGGCGGUCUGACAAGUCAGAUGUGAAAUCCCCGGGCUUAACCUGGGAACUGCAUUUGAAACUGUCAGGCUGGAGUCUUGUAGAGGGGGGUAGAAUUCCAGGUGUAGCGGUGAAAUGCGUAGAGAUCUGGAGGAAUACCGGUGGCGAAGGCGGCCCCCUGGACAAAGACUGACGCUCAGGUGCGAAAGCGUGGGGAGCAAACAGGAUUAGAUACCCCGGUAGUCCCUGUCUCUUAUAC
rnacentral:rRNA from 1 species